rnacentral:rRNA from 1 species
AACGAACGCUGGCGGCGCGCUUAACACAUACAAGUCGAACGAGAAGCUGUGGCAAUACAGUUGUACAGUGGCGAACGGGUGAGGAAUACAUGGGUAACCUACCCUCGAGUGGGGAAGUAACCAACGCCGAAACGGACGUGGCGUAAUAACCGCCGUACGCUUCCCUAACUACUGCGGGUUGGGAAGGAAAGGACUCUACCGUGGGUAGGAGCGCUCAAGGACGGGCGUCAUGUCCUA